rnacentral:rRNA from 1 species
AGAGUUCGAUUAUGGCUCAGGAUGAACGCUGGCGGCGUGCUUAACACAUGCAAGUCGAGCGAAGCACUUAAGUUUGAUUCUUCGGAUGAAGACUUUUGUGACUGAGCGGCGGACGGGUGAGUAACGCGUGGGUAACCUGCCUCAUACAGGGGGAUAACAGUUAGAAAUGACUGCUAAUACCGCAUAAGACCACAGUACCGCAUGGUACAGUGGUAAAAACUCCGGUGGUAUGAGAUGGACCCGCGUCUGAUUAGGUAGUUGGUGGGGUAACGGCCUACCAAGCCGACGAUCAGUAGCCGACCUGAGAGGGUGACCGGCCACAUUGGGACUGAGACACGGCCCAG